AGUAGCUCAGCCGGAUAGAGCAACGGCCUUCUAAGCCGUAGGUCGCGGGUUCGAAUCCCUCCUG
rnacentral:tRNA from 1 species